UACGGAGGAUGCAAGUGUUAUCCGGAAUCACUGGGCGUAAAGCGUCUGUAGGUGGUUUAAUAAGUCUACUGUUAAAUCUUGAGGCUCAACCUCAAAAUCGCAGUCGAAACUAUUAGGCUAGAGUAUAGUAGGGGUAAAGGGAAUUUCCAGUGGAGCGGUGAAAUGCGUAGAGAUUGGAAAGAACACCGAUGGCGAAGGCACUUUACUGGGCUAUUACUGACACUCAGAGACGAAAGCUAGGGUAGCAAAUGGG
rnacentral:rRNA from 1 species